AGAUGUUACAACAGCAAUGGCUGUUGAAAGGCUGCAGGGAGAGAAAAUUAGAUCUGAGGACAGGAAAGUGGAAUUGAUUUCAUGCUUAGCAAAAUGAGGGUUUCAGCAGAGGACCUUUUUGUGGCAAGGCUACGGAAUCAGAAGGAAUGUUUGUCUGAGCAACUGGGAGGUUUAUAGUUUUUCAUGCAGCCAACCAAGACAUUGGGGUUAGCGUCAUCCCAAAUGGCUGGCAAAGAUUGCUUGUAACUGUCAGUGUAGGACAGGAAAGGCAGGUAUAGGUUAGGGAGGGCAUCCAUCGGUGAGCUCUGACUGGAUGUGAGGACCUGUCACACUUGACCAGAGAUGAAGGCUGCAGCACAUUCCUGGAUCAGAGGACUCCAUGUUGGACACCACGACCUGGAGAAGUCCCAUCCUGGAUGGCUGCGGUGAUGACCUAGCCCAAGAUGAACUGACCCUUCUACGACGAGGACUUCGCCCAAGAUGAACCGACCCUUCUAUGAGGACUUCGCACAAGAUGAACUGACCUUUUCCACGGGAUGCUUCAGAUGCUGGACCUUGACAAACUGUACACAUGCCUCAAUGGCUGCUACAUCACUCUGCCCAUCAGGACAUGGUCACCGAGAAAAAAUUAAAUGAACUUUAACCCACCUCCGUCCCCACUGACCCACAACCACACAUGACAAAACACUGUACAUGUGAUGCAUCACCACACUAAAAUACAGACACUGCUACUUUCAGCCUGUUUCAGCCAACAGCAUCAAUGUUUGAGUUAUUUAAUUGCUUAAUUUUUAAAUCAGUCAAGGUUUUAUGAGCUGGGUCUUCUUCACACAACAGAGAACAAGGUAAAUUGAGUCGACUCGUAACAUGGUAAGGCAUUUCGUCCUUCUCCUUCUUCUCUGUGUGUGAGGAAAUCUGGCCACGGAUCCUGACUGAGUGGCAUACCAUGGCUGUGCAGUUUCCAAAAUCAGACAAGGAUCCAUCUGAUUUUGUGACCCGGCCUGUCAUGAUAUGCAUGUAUUUUUCUCCGACAGUAGCAGACACUGCUACUUUCAGCCGGUAAUGUUAGACAUUGAAAACUUGUAUUUAUUGCCUUCUUUAUAUCAAGUAAAACUUUUGUUCUUAACUUUAUGGUUUACUUGUAUUUUUUCAGUGAUGAGUGUUAUUUUGACAAGUUAGUGCUUUGAACGUAAAGAUGUGGAAUUCUUUUAAAACAAAUUGCACUGAUCUGUUACUGUAGACUUGGCACCUUUUGACACUGCUCCAAGUGUUCGGUUGAUCUUAACCAGAAAACUCAAACCCUAUAUGGAUUUGUACAAGAUUUUAAAGGGAAUAUAAUAAAUUGGACUCUAAAGCAGGGAAUGCUACAGUCGAUGGUGAUGCUGCUACUUGCCCCCAUCUCACAACUUCCUUAUUUUUAGCCACUAACACUAAAUAUUUCUAAUGCAUAUAAAUAUGCCACUGAACAUUAGACUACUUGGCUUUAAAAUGCCUUCUUUUAACUAGAGAUGUAUUUUUACUAUUUUAUUUCAUCUGGCUUUUCAUUUUAUCUUUUAAUUCUGUCUUUACCAUUUUACGCUUAAAGCUUUUAUUUUUCUACUAUGGACCACUUAUAGAUGUAAUUUUUCAUCAGGUCUGAUGCGGUUGCAAAAAUUGGUGAGUUUUGGGGUAUGUUCAGGGCCUCAAACGCGAUUCAUUUGGCGGGCGGAAGAAUCAGAAGAAUAAGAAUAACCCUUACAGUUUCAAUAGGGUUCUAUGCACCUUGUGCUCAAACUCUAAUAAUAAACUAUUAAUACAAUCAGGUAAUUGUACGUUUAUGAAAAAUCUUUAAUUUCUGCCAAAUAAAAAUAAAUAUUACUCAGUGGACAUUUAAGAUUAUGUAAUAUCAAUCAUUUUUUCAAAUUAGAUUAUUAUGGAAAGUGAUAGUUAAAUAGAUCGAUUGGUAAAAGAAAACUGGGAACUAUUAUGUAAUCAUGUUGACAAUGGAUUUCUUUAAAACAUUUUCGUGCUGAGCCUUUCUAAUCUAAAAAAAGAAAAAAGACUGAUCUCUCUUCAUGCUUGUGAAUAAAGUAAAUGCAGCCACAUUUAUAAAAAUGAGCAUCACCAUGUAUUUGUAUUCUUUAGAUAGAGGCAACAUUUACAAUGACAGCAUUUACAUCUCGUCACAUGUUUGAAAAGGAGUAUGCAGAAGUAUAAACUUACAUGUAUCUAUACCCCAUUCCUAUUUAUGCACUACUUUAUCCCAUCACCAAAUAUUGACGUAUUUUACAUUCUCAAUGUUCAACACAAUGUAGUUUCCCUCUUAAAUUGUAUCC